rnacentral:rRNA from 1 species
AUGAAUGGGAAUCUCGUCCUGUUCCAGGACAGAACAAAGCAUGCAGUAUACAUUAACAAGAAUUUAAAAGAUUUCACAGAAGAUGCUAUUGAAAGAAUUACUAGCAACUACAGCAUUCCUAUCGGAAAAGGUGGUUUUGGAGAAGUCUUUAAAGGAGUCCUUGAUGAUGAGCUAGUUGCUGUGAAGAGAUAUAUCCGCCAAGAGUUGAGAGAAGAGUUUAUGGAUGAAGUAAGCAUCCAUAGUCAAAUGAGCCACAGGAACGUGGUGAAUCUCAUUGGCUAUUGUAUUGGGGAAAAUACCCUAACAAUGGUAACUGAGUUUAUCUCCAAAGGAAACCUCGAUGACAUACUUCACAACAGUAGUACUUCCAUCCCUUUGGAUAUAAGAUUGGGUAUUGCUAUAGGCUGUGCAGAAGCAUUGAGCUACAUGCAUUCGAUGCAUUUAUCAGGUGACAACCUUGUAUGUCAUGGCGAUAUUAAACCUGCCAACAUACUUCUAGAUGCCAAUCUUACAGCAAAAGUAUCAGAUUUUGGACUGUCGAGGCUUCUUUUAGGAGGCAUCACUCAAUACACUAGGAAUGUAAAAGGAAGUAUAGAUUACAUGGAUCCUAUAUAUCUUCGAGAGGGACGUCUUACCCCAAAGAGUGAUGUAUAUAGUUUUGGAGCAGUGCUCUUGGAAUUAAUAGCUAGGAAAAGGGUAAAAGAGGGUAGCUGUAGCCUCAUAUCGACUUUCAGUAAUGCCCGUGGUAAAGGUGAAUGGUCGAGGGACCUUUUUGACAGAGAAAUAAUUAGUGCAGGCAAUAUAAAGAUUCUUGAGGAAAUAGGAAAACUGGCAACUGAAUGCCUGACAUUGGACAUUCAUAAACGUCCCAGAAUUACUGAUGUGGCUAAACGCCUUUUAUUGCUGUGGAGACAAGAAAAACGGGAGUUCUUUUUUAGAACAGAAAGUGUUGGCACAAGCAACUUAAUGAGAUGUUUGGGCAGUUUUGAGAUGGAUGUUGCCAAUUCUGAGAUACUAGCAAAGCUUGGCAACAUGCGAUUUUUCACUGAGAAGCAGCUAAUUGAAGUCACACGGAACUUCUCAUGUCUAUGUAGUGAAGGUUGGUUAGCUGAGGUCUACAAAGGCACUCUAGAGGAUAACACAGUGGUGGCAGUAAAGAAAUCUGUUGAUGCAUAUGAGGAGCAUAUAAUUCAUUUUGUCAAUGGAGUGAUGAUCCAUGCUCAACUCAUCCACACGAAUAUCAUCAAACUGUUCGGCGUCUGCUUGGAGGUUGGUAUUCCAAUUUUCCUAUAUGAGUAUGCUGCUGAAGGCAAUCUUUCAGACCUCCUGAAUGGUAGCAAACAUUUCCCCCUGGAAUUGCGGCUGGAGAUUGCAAUCGGAACUGCAAAAGCAUUAGCAUACAUGCACUCAUCUGAUUCUGGUUGCAUCAGACAUGGUAGUGUCAACCCUUCCAAUAUACUUCUAGAUCAUAACUUCUCGCCAAAGGUCUCAGGUUUUUCACUCUCAAGGGCGCUUACCAUUGAGUACAAUUAUGAUGACUCUGUAGUCGUUCGAAGGCACUACAGCGACCCAAGCUUCGUACAAUGUGGGCUUCUUACAGUCAAAAGCGAUGUGUACAGCUUCGGGAUUAUUCUCAUGGAACUCAUUAGCAGGAAGCUCUCAACAUAUGAUGAAGAUUGUGAACUAACAGACCUUGUUAUCCUGUAUAACAAAGCAUAUGAUUCAGAGAAGAGAGGAGCGGCGAUGUUUGAUAAGGAUAUCACAGCCGAUAAAGACAUCAUACUGCUUGAAGACAUUGGGAAGCUAGCAAUUGAGUGCACGAAACUGGGACCAGAUCUUAGGCCAACAAUGAAGGAGGUGGCAGAACGCCUCGAGAUUCUUAGAGCAUCUUGGGGCAAAGCUAGCCAAGGGAGGUAG